AGGGUUUGAUCCUGGCUCAGAACGAACGUUGGUGGCGUGGUUUAGGCAUGCAAGUCGAACGAGAAAGUUCUCUUCGGAGAAUAAGUAGAGUGGCAAAAGGGAGAGUAAUAACUAGCUAACCUACCUCUUGAUCUGGAAUAACCUUCUGAAAGGAUUGCUAAUACCGGAUGGUCUUACGUUGAAUAAUCUAUUGUAAGUAAAGGUGGCAUCACUUGUGGUGCUAUUGUCAGGAGAUGGGGCUAGUUCCUAUUAGUUAGUUGGUGAGGUAAUGGCUCACCAAGACGAUGAUGGGUAGCCGAUCUGAGAGGAUGACCGGCCUCACUGGGACUGAGACACUGCCCAGACUCCUACGGGAGGCUGCAGUCGCGAAUCUUCCGCAAUGGGCGCAAGCCUGACGGAGCGACGCCACGUGUGGGAUGAAGGCCUUCGGGUUGUAAACCACUGUUACAGUUUAAGAAAUGUGCCGAGGAAUAAUACCCUCGGUACUUGACAAAGGACUGAGAGAAAGUCACGGCUAACUACGUGCCAGCAGCCGCGGUAAUACGUAGGUGGCGAACGUUGUUCGGAAUCACUGGGCAUAAAGAGUCUGUAGGCGGUCAUGUAAGUCAGGUGUGAAAUCCCAGAGCUCAACUUUGGAACUGCAUUUGAUACUGUAUGACUCGAAUAUUGGAGAGGCAAGUAGAAUUUAUGGUGUAGCGGUGAAAUGCGUUGAUAUCAUAGAGAAUACCGAUGGCGAAGGCAGCUUGCUGGCCAAAUAUUGACGCUGAGAGACGAAAGCCAGGGUAGCGAAAGGGAUCAGAUACCCCUGUAGUCCUGGCCCUAAACGAUGUACACUGUAUGAUGGAAGUCUUACGCUUUCGUUGUAGUAGCUAAUGCGUUAAGUGUACCGCCUGGGGAGUAUGGUCGCAAGGCUAAAACUCAAAGGAAUUGACGGGGGCUCACACAAGCGGUGGAGCAUGUUGUUUAAUUCGAAAAUACGCGAAGAACCUUACCCAGACUUGACAUGUUUGUAUUAGAUCAUAGAAAUAUGGUUGACGCCCGUUCCGGGUGGAACUUACACAGGUGUUGCAUGGCUGUCGUCAGCUCGUGUCGUGAGAUGUAAGGUUAAGUCCUUUAACGAGCGCAACCCUUAUCUUUUGUUGCCAGCACGUAAUGGUGGGGACUCUGAAGAGACCGCCGGUGUUAGACCGGAGGAAGGUGGGGACGACGUCAGGUCAUCAUGGCCCUUAUGUCUGGGGCUACAAACGUGCUACAAUGCAUGGUACAACGAGACGCAAUACGGUGACGUGGAGCAAAUCUCUUAAAACCUUGCCUAGUUCGGAUUGAAGUCUGCAACUCGACUUCAUGAAGUUGGAAUCGCUAGUAAUCGCGGGUCAUCAAUACCGCGGUGAAUAUGUACCUGAGCCUUGUACACACCGCCCGUCAAGCCACCCAAAUUGAUAGUACUCGACGUCUGUGACCCGACCACUUGUGGAGGGAGCAGCCUAAGGUAAUAUCGGUGAGGGGGACUAAGUCGAAACAAGGUA
rnacentral:rRNA from 1 species